UUUCAAAACAUUUGCAAGACAAAAAAAAGAAUUAUAGCAACUAAUAACAUCAUUUUUCCAAGAAAAGAGCAGAUUUCGAAUUAUGCAACAGUCCAGUGGCCAAUAAAGUGCUACUUUGGAUUCUCAGUCCAUCUAAUUCUAUAAGAGGGACAAAAGACAGGACCAAAAUGUAUCGAUCAAGCCAAAGUUAAGUAAGGGUAUAGCCGCGGUU